GGGUCAGUAGGUUGGUCGUGCCACCGGUACGUACUGGUCUCACUGAUUCCUCCUUCCUGAAGAACCGUAAUGCCAUUAAUUUGGUGUUGCGGGGAAACAGGACUGUUACCUUGGAAAAAUUAGAGUGUUUAAAGCAAGCUAACGCUUGAAUACAUUAGCAUGGAAUAAUGAAAUAGGACGAUCGAUCCUAUUUUGUUGGUUUCUAGGAUUGACGUA
rnacentral:rRNA from 1 species